UAUACGACUCUCGGCAACGGAUAUCUCGGCUCUCGCAUCGAUGAAGAACGUAGCGAAAUGCGAUACUUGGCGUGAAUUGCAGAAUCCCGUGAACCAUCGAGUCUUUGAACGCAAGUUGCGCCCGAGGCCUUUCGGUUGAGGGCACGCCUGCUUGGGCGUCACGC
rnacentral:rRNA from 1 species